CAGCCGCCGCGGUAAUACGUAGGUGGCAAGCGUUGUCCGGAAUUAUUGGGCGUAAAGGGCUCGCAGGCGGUUUCUUAAGUCUGAUGUGAAAGCCCCCGGCUCAACCGGGGAGGGUCAUUGGAAACUGGGAAACUUGAGUGCAGAAGAGGAGAGUGGAAUUCCACGUGUAGCGGUGAAAUGCGUGGAGAUGUGGAGGAACACCAGUGGCGAAGGCGACUCUCUGGUCUGUAACUGACGCUGAGGAGCGAAAGCGUGGGGAGCGAACAGGAUUAGAUACCCCUGUAGUCCCUGUCUCUUAUAC
rnacentral:rRNA from 1 species